rnacentral:lncRNA from 13 species
GGGUUCAGAAGCCCCCUGCCUGACACUCGCCCUCACUGUCACCCAGAAAGGAAAUGCACUGUCAACUGGAGAACAGAGAGGUGCAGAACUCCAAGGCCCACAACCCCUCAGAGAGGGCCUGGCGGUAGGAGAGGCACCCACAAGCCGGUCAGGCCAGGCAGGGAAGGGCCGUCUGCCUAGAAGGCGCCCCAGCCUGUGAAGAUGGACUGGAGGGUGAUACCGCCGGAAUGUCCUGCCCAAGUUAGUAUCUGGCAGAAGCCAAAACCCACCACCUCCCAACCCUUGCCGGUCUCACCCCUCUCGCCUGGGGGAUGACCAAGGAACAGCCAGCCCGGGGCGGGAGCAGGGACAAGAUGACCUCAGGAAGCCCAGGGUGCGGGGGUGCUGGCGCCCUCCCCUCCCCCGGCCCACUCUGCAGGCGAGACCCCCAACCAACAUUGCUCCAUCGAUCCUCUCCGAGGCUCACAUCCCAAACACGUCUGCUCACCCGUGGGCCUCCGGCCCCUGACCUCAACCAGGACUGACCUCAAGUCCAGGUGUCAGCGACUGUCACCCGACCUGGUCCCCGGCCCGGCCUCGCCAGGUCUGCCCCGCCGCGCGCACAGCAGGGCCGGGUGGAAGGAGGCCGGGCCUGGCCGUGGCUCAGGCGCCACCUUUCUGGGGGGCUUGGGGGGUGGUCUCAGCCCCUCUCUGGGCUUGGGCCUCCCUAUCAGUCCCCCGGAGCCGGGGCAGGCCUGGUGACGCCCACCGCGGGCUCCAACCCCGCCCCCUCACAGGAGGCCCCGCCCGGCCCCGCCCCCUCACCGGAGGCCCCUCCCCGCCCCCGGCCGCGCGGGCUGCCUGGGAGUCGCGGGUCCAGCCGCGUUCAGAGCGCGCGAGGCUCCGGAGCUCAGCGAGGCUGCGGGCGCCUGCGUCCACCGGCGCCUCUGCUGGACCCACUCCAGAUCUGUUCUCUGAGGUAUCUUCCUUUCCCUUUUCCCCCAGUGCCCAGCACUAGCUCCUCAGGCCCCAGAAUGUCCCUCCCCCUCCUCUGCCCACGGCCAUCUCUGGCAGAAGGCAGCAGCCUCCCCCUCCAACACCAGGCACUCACGAAAUAGAGAAUCACGACCCUAGCUGGGCAUGUUCCAGAUUCUUUGCCCAACAGUGCCAUGGGCCCCUGGCCACGGGAGGGUCCUGUGCAGAGGCCAAGGGGCAGUACUCAGACCCAUCUGGCCCCUUCCUGCUGGUCUCUCAGUACCGAGUCACAUUUGGAAUGUGGAGUGCUUUCCCAGGUCUCCAUUGCAGGGUCUUGCCCUACUAGGGUCGUGGGGUGUCCCCUAUCACUGUGCUGAGGUGCUGGAUAGGCGAAAUAAGGAGACAACACACCAAAGGACUGGAUGAGAGCAGCGGGGCUCCGGGGCCAACGCCACUUACAAGUGGAGUCAGGGGGGCCCUGAGCGUCCAGGCACGACUGUAUUUGUUAGGUUUAGGUUGAGGGGAAGGGUCGUGAGUGAGGUCAUCUUAAGGAUAGUGAUAGGGUCAAGACAAUCACGUGAGCAAUAAACAAGGGGCCCAUCCCCGUUAGGUCA